GAUGAACGCUAGCUACAGGCUUAACACAUGCAAGUCGAGGGGCAGCACAGAGAUAGCUUGCUAUCUUGGGUGGCGACCGGCGCACGGGUGAGUAACGCGUAUCCAACCUGCCCAUUACUCUGGGAUAGCCUUGCGAAAGUAAGAUUAAUACCGGAUGUUGUUAAAAACCCGCAUGAGUUUUUAACCAAAGAUUUAUGGGUAAUGGAUGGGGAUGCGUGACAUUAGGUAGUUGGUGAGGUAACGGCUCACCAAGCCUACGAUGUCUAGGGGUUCUGAGAGGAAGGUCCCCCACACUGGAACUGAGACACGGUCCAGACUCCUACGGGAGGCAGCAGUGAGGAAUAUUGGUCAAUGGACGAGAGUCUGAACCAGCCAAGUAGCGUGCAGGAUGACGGCCCUCUGGGUUGUAAACUGCUUUUAGUUGGGAAUAAAAAGAGGGACGUGUCCCUAAUUGUAUGUACCAUCAGAAAAAGGACCGGCUAAUUCCGUGCCAGCCGCCGCAGUAAUAC
rnacentral:rRNA from 1 species